GUUCUCUGCCAUGUGAGAACAUGGCAUCCCUUCCCUUCAGAUGAUGCAGCCCUCACCAGACAAGUGAACCUGCUGGCACCUUGAUCUUGGAUUUCCUGGCCUCCAGAACUUUUGGCCUUUGCUGAGUGUAUACUCAUGGUGCAGUUCAACAGAUGCUUCUCUCCUCUAUUUCCUGCAAAUUGGCAGCUGGAUCCAGAGGUUAAUUGGACUUCAGUUUGAUCUCACUGGCAAGACUACAGUUUCUGUGGGUCAGGAAUCCAAGAGUGGCUUACAUGGACGGUUCUGAAGUCAUCUGAAGGCUUGACUG
rnacentral:lncRNA from 1 species